rnacentral:lncRNA from 1 species
UUGCUCUCUUGCCCCUACUUGGCUGCUUUCUUUCUUCUACCUUCCACCCUCAGGGGACAACAAGAAAAUCCUCCUUCUCUGGGACAAAAGGUGCUUAACGAACAAAACAAAACUGGAAAGGAAAAUUUUGUACUCACUAAGUCAAAUUUGAUUCCUGUGUAGGUCUACACAAAGGGUUAGUGGAAUAAUCAUGCGGUCAAGUGUUUCCUGUCCACGCGAUGGUAAUUUCUUCCUGCAAAUGACUUCUUUACCAUUUCAGUGUCUACCUGAGGCUUGUGUUUGUUUUUACUUAUUUUGAGUCUUUCUCCAGGGGCAUUCCUCAGGCCCCUGGGCACUGAUGGAAACUAUUGACUCCUUCCUCAAAAUGGAAGCUCAGAUGCUACCAACAUCUCCAAGAUUACAUCCCUGCCAAACCAAUUCAAGAUCUUCCAGAAUCAUUCAUGCCAGACGUGCCUUUAAAGUAGACCAGUGUUUCACAAAGUAUGGGCUCUGCACCAAUUUCAUUGGCUUCAUCUGGGAGCUUCUCAGAGACACCUCGGAAGAGAACUAACGCGUGUCACAUAACAUAUGUGAUUUUUUUCUCCUGGGAAAAAAUUUCCUAGGAGUUCACAGUCUUCUCUGUCAGGACUGGAUACGGCUCCUUGCAGACUGGUGACCUAAGAACUAAAAGGACAAGAUAUUUGUCCCCUCACAGCUAAUAUACAAUGGUGGAGCCUCUGAUCUUCUAGAGAUAUAAACUUCCCUUUCCUGUUUUCCUUCUCCCAGGAUCCUGCUUCCCUGACACGGAAAGAAGCACAGAGAAACAGGCUUUUCAAUUUUUGUGAAGUUUGCUCUCAAAUUUUGACUCAAUAUUUCGGGAAAAGACUGAUCUAAAACUUAGAAUGUGAUCACGGUCCACAGAAGCUCUUCACCAGAGAGUAUCCUGUGCAACUCCAGUCCUACGAGACGCUCUGUGAAGGGUCAAAUCAUCAGCAGAGCGUGCUUAGCAUUUGGGAAGAGUCACAGCGUACAAAAGACCAGGACAAGAACUCCAGCAAGAGAUUCUACUUAACCCACUGUUUCCCAAACUAAUAAACCACAGAAACCCUUUGCCAAAUAUUGAUGGACCUCACGUUCUGCAUUGUAUAUGCUGAAGAAAGCUCGUCAUGGUAAUAUGGCUGAUUUUUAAGCAAAGACGCUAAAAUGUGAAUCCUAAUAUAUUCUGUCCCAUUUGGGAAAAGUCAUCUUAGGAGGCUGUUCAUUUAUUCCUGUGAUGUUGUUCUAAAUCUUAAAAUGCUUCAAUGAUUUUGGGGAACGUUUCUUUCGGCAUUCCCUUUAGAGCCAGAGUCACAGAGGAAAAUCAGUCUUAUUACUUUACAAUCAUACCUCGUUGCUGACCCAAAAGACUGUCUGUGAACUCGGUCACCCUUCUCACUUACCAGACUUGGUGCUGAAUAAAAUUGCUUUAAAAAAAUAACAAAUAAAACUUCAAAGGAUGAAGAGUUUCCAAGGGUGAAGAUGCUCAUACUGAAGGUAAUUUAGCUUCUUGGCUACACUGAGGUGAAGUGUUUUUGAGUCAGGAUGAUGGACAGGAUUGACUGCUCUGAGCCACCACCUCAAAAGAAGUCUUUGUUCUUAUGCUCCCUGUUCACUUGGCUUCCUUUGGCCAACUCCUUCCAUCAGUUUCCUUGUUCUUGGCUACACUCAGUUCCUAGCUGUGUCCCAUACUCGGUCUGUGCCCUGUGUGUUGAUCUAGGGCAUCCCCCCAGGUAGGCACAAUCUCUUGGCUUCUAUCUUUUGCAUGCAUCUUACUUUGUGUUUCUACCUGCUUUCUUGUUUGGUUUUCUGCCUGGUAAAAUCCUUGUCUAUUAUUUCUGGAUUUCUGUUCCUACCUAAGUUGAAAUUUCUCAACUGUUAUUCUUGAGUAUCCUGACUCCUGGCUGAAGUGUCUUCUUGUUACCUUGCUUGAACAUCUCUAGUGCCUCUAAUAUGGCCAACCUCUAUAUUCCUGGCUGGCAUUAGUGUCACUUAGAAAACAUCUGGCUUAGACUUUGAGAUUCAGAAUUUAUUAAUUUGGCAUAUAUGUGUUGAAUGACUAAUAUACAUCAGAUACUGCUGUGAGUGUUAGAGAUGAAAAAGCGUUGAUAACACACUGCUACUUUCUAGGUACACCAUCUAGUAGAAGAGAUGAUGUGACACAAAACUAUAUAAGUGUACUGGGAUUGGGA